AGGCGAGUAGUUCAGUCCGGAUAGAAUAUAACCUUGCGGAGGUUAAGACCAGGGUUCAAAUCCCUGCUCGCCUA
rnacentral:tRNA from 1 species